UACAGAGGUCUCAAGCGUUGUUCGGAUUCAUUGGGCGUAAAGGGUGCGUAGGUGGCGCUGUAAGUCGGGUGUGAAAUUUCGAGGCUUAACCUCGAAACUGCAUUCGAUACUGCGGUGCUUGAGGACUGGAGAGGAGACUGGAAUUCAUGGUGUAGCAGUGAAAUGCGCAGAUAUCAGGAGGAACACCAAUUGCGAAGGCAGCUCGCUGGGACGUAACUGACGCUGAGACGCGAAAGCGUGGGGAGCAAACAGG
rnacentral:rRNA from 1 species